UACGUAGGGUGCAGGCGUUAAUCGGAAUUACUGGGCGUAAAGCGUGCGCAGGCGGUUUGUUAAGACAGAUGUGAAAUCCCCGGGCUUAACCUGGGAACUGCGUUUGCAACUGGCAAGCUAGAGUGUGGCAGAGGGGGGUGGAAUUCCAAGUGUAGCAGUGAAAUGCGUAGAUAUUUGGAGGAACACCAAUGGCGAAGGCAGCCCCCUGGGUUAACACUGACGCUCAUGCACGAAAGCGUGGGGAGCAAACAGG
rnacentral:rRNA from 1 species